rnacentral:rRNA from 1 species
GACGAACGCUGGCGGCAUGCUUAACACAUGCAAGUCGAACGGAAAGUCCCUUCUUUUGUGGCGUGCUCGAGUGGCACACGUAUGAAUAACACGUGAGUAACCUGCCCUUAACUGUGAGAUACCUUCAGGACACUGGGGCUAAUACCGGAUAGGAACUCCUGCUGCAUGGUGGGGGUUGGCAAGUUUCGGCGGGUGGGGAUGGACUGCCGGCUUAUAAGCUGGUUGUUGGGGUAGUGGCUUACCAAGGCUUUGACGGGUAGCCGGCCUGAGCGGGUGACCGGCAACAUUGCUACUGAGAAGAGGCGCAGAAUCCUACGGGAGGAAGCAGUAGGGAAGAAUGCACAAUGGUGGGAGGCAGGAUGCAGCAACGCUGCGUGGUGGAGGAAGGACGUCGGGUGGUAAUCCGCUUCUGCCUGUGAAGAAGAAGGAGUGACGGUAAUUGGUAAAUAAGCACCGGCUAACUACGUG